rnacentral:lncRNA from 1 species
UAAUUCCACAUUCAUUCUGGAUUUUCACUUGAGAAAAAAAUAUUGAUCUUUUACAUAGAGUUAUUUUGAGCCAAAGUUUUCUCAUUUACGGACCAGUAUGAAUUGAAUUUUGGAUGGUCCGUCUGCUUCUUGCUGAGCUCGGCAAUUUAUUUUUUUCAAAGCAGAAUCAGCCUCAGUUACUAAUUCAUGACAAUAACUAAAGCCCCACAGAUGUUGCCACUGGAGCUGAGAGCUAUCCUUGUCGUGAGCUAUGAAUGCGAGCAGCAUGGCUCCCUAAGCCAGUGCUCUGACAGACUGUCGCAUUUCACCAUCCACUUUACUGAUUCAUUUUAGAAAAUCAGCUUCAUCUUUUCUCUCCUGGGGGAAAUGAGCACUCAUGUUCUCUUCGACACAGCAGCUCUUUUUUUUUCCUCUCUUAGUUGAGUCAAUGUGCCUCUUUCUAAGACUGCCUAACUCCCUGGAAUUAUUCCACCUAAGUAAGAAGAGCUGUUCCUCCCUCCAAAAGUGGUCCACUUCCUGGCACCUGGAGAGAGGACAGUACAUGGUAGAUCAUUAAUAUUAGCUCGGAAAGAGAGGGCUUUGAAAAUAAGUAAGGCUUCCCUCAACCCUUUUAGAGUUAGAGCUAGGAGAUGAGUAGCAAGUUUGGAGUCUGAAUAAAUACAUUUCUUUCCAGACAAAGAAAUCUCUAAGAAAAGAUAGAUCAUUAUGGUAAAAGCUUAGAGAAAGAAAGAGGCAGUGGAUGACCAGAACUACUACACAGUUCCUCUCUGUCCUCUCCUCCCUCCCUCCCUAGAUUCAGCACCAGUGUGAGCUAGCUACUCUGCCUAGUGGAGCUCCUCCAAUAACUAUUCAGAAGCAGCCUUCAGUCUAGCCGUCUACUUAAACUUUGUGAUGGGCUCCUAAUGUAUAACAGUGAUUGCAUUCUUUUCAGUCCCAGGAAAGUCUCCAGUAAGAUGCAGAGACUGAGCAAGACUUUGUGUUUGGGGGCAUAACUGGCUUGGGAUAUUUUAAUAGUGCAGUUAAAGAUCAACAAAGGCAAGUCCUUUCUCCCCUCCUGUGUUUGUGCUCUACCCUAAUAUUAAGACUGAUAAAGUGUGAUGACAUCUCAGAUUUCAGGCAUGCUUCAUUUUACUAUGCUUCUCUUUAUGGUGCUGGCAGAUGUUUCACUUUUUACAAAUGGAGGGUUUGUGGUAACUGUGUUUUGAGCAAGUCUAUGGG